GCCUAAAGAAAAGCUCGCGGCUGAUUAGCUUGUUGGUAAGGUAAUGGCUUACCAAGGCGACGAUCAGUAUCUGGUUUGAGAGGACGAUCAGACACACUGGAACUGAGACACGGUCCAGACUCCUACGGGAGGCAGCAGUGGGGAAUUUUCCGCAAUGGGCGAAAGCCUGACGGAGCAAUACCGCGUGAGGGAAGACGGCCUAUGGGUUGUAAACCUCUUUUUUCAGGGAGGAACAAAAUGACGUGUACCUGAAGAAUAAGCAUCGGCUAACUCCGUGCCAGCAGCCGCGGUAAGACGGAGGAUGCAAGUGUUAUCCGGAAUCACUGGGCGUAAAGCGUCUGUAGGUGGUUUGUUAAGUCAACUGUUUAAUCUUGAGGCUCAACUUCAAAUCAGCAGUCGAAACUAUCAGACUAGAGUAUAGUAGGGGUAAAGGGAAUUUCCAGUGGAGCGGUGAAAUGCGUAGAUAUUG
rnacentral:rRNA from 1 species